ACGUAGAGUGUAAAGGCAAAAGAGAGCUUGAUUGCAAGACAUACAUGUCGAGCAAGGAUGAAAAUCGGACUUAGGGAUCCGGUGGUGCUGCGUGGAAGGGCCAUCGCUCAACGGAUAAAAGCGACCCGGGGGAUAACAGGCUUAUCUCCCCAAAGAGUCCACAUCGACGGGGAGGUUUGGCACCUCGAUGUCGGCUCAUCACAUCCUGGGGCUGUAGUAGGUCCCAAGGGUUGGGCUGUUCGCCCAUUAAAGUGGUACGCGAGCUGGGUUCAGAACGUCGUGAGACAGUUCGGUCCCUAUCCGUCGCAGGCGUAGGAAAUUUGAGAAGACAUGUCCUUAGUACGAGAGGACCGUGAUGGACGUACCUCUGUUGUACCAGGUGUCCUGCCAAGGGCAUGGCUGGGUAGCUAUGUACGGAAUGGAUAAGCGCUGAAAGCAUCUAAGCGCGAAG
rnacentral:rRNA from 1 species